GGGAUAGAAUUCCAGGAGUAGCGGUGAAAUGCGUAGAUAUCUGGAGGAAUACCAAAGGCGAAGGCAGUCCCCUGGUCCGAUACUGACACUGAGGUACGAAAGCGUGGGGAGCAAACAGGAUUAGAUACCCUGGUAGUCCACGCCCUAAACGAUGUCGAUUAGCCAUUGGAAGGACCCCUUUUCCUUUCAGUGACGUAGCUAACGCGUUAAAUCGACCGCCUGGGAAGUACGACCGCAAGGUUAAAACUCAAAGGAAUUGACGGGGACCUGAACAAGCGGUGAAUGAUGUGGAUUAAUUCGAUGCUACGCGAAGAACCUUACCUACCCUUGACAUGGCCAAAGUUCUACCGAGAGGCGGAAGUACUCGUAAGAGGAUUGGCGCACAGGUGCUGCAUGGUUGUCGUCAGUUCGUGUCGUGAGAUGUUGGGUUCAGUCCCGCAACGAACGCAACCCUUAUCUUUAAUUGCUCCUAUUUUAACAGGCACUUUAAAGAAACUGCCAAUGAUAAGUUGGAGGAAGGUGGGGAUCACGUCAAGUCCGCAUGGCCUUUAUAGGUAGGGCUUCACACGUCAUACAAUGGUUAGAACAAAGAGCUGCAAAUUCGUAAGAAGGAGCCAAUCUCACAAACCUAACCUCAGUUCGAAUUGCGGUCUGCAACUCGAGCGCAUGAAGCCGGAAUCGCUAGUAAUCGUGGAUCAGAAUGCCACGGUGAAUACGUUCUUAGGUCUU
rnacentral:rRNA from 1 species